CGCUCAGGGCGGCGCUUAGAGGCCCAGGAAAGGCGGCGGCCGAGGUCAUCCCGGGAGUGGAAGGCAACGCUGAACAGUAGGCACGGAGGCCGGAGGCGCGGUCCGACGUGGCUGCAGAAGCCAGACGGAGCCGAUCGAGGAGCGACAAACACAUUGAUGCCAGAUUAGGAGGGCCUGGGGAGCCACGCUCAGGAGAAUAAGCAAGACCAUCUGUGUUAUGUGUCAGACUCUAGUGCAUGAGCAAGAAUAUCGUUGGCUGUCUUCUACUCCACUGGCUUCAAUACAUGGCCAAUCUUGCUUCAUCUAGAAUCCCACCCACUUCCUCUACACUUGGAAUAUUUUGGAGCACAUGCCAGAUGGCGGAUUAUUUCAUCAGUAAAUAUUUCAGUAAAUAUCUCUAAAAGAUAAGGCGACUUUUCAAAAUGAAGAUGACCAUGAUACCUUUAGCACAUUUAAAAACAUUUUAGCAGUUCCAUAAUGUCAUCAAAUAGCCAAUCAAUGUCUACAUCUCCCUGAUUUUGCUUAUAUGUCUCCUAAGUGGUUUUUGCUUGGACCGAAAUCCAAACGAAGUCCACAAGUUACAACCAGUUGAUGUGCCUCUUAAUUUACUUGAAAGAUCCAUUAAAGUAGGAGUCAGCACCUACCCACUAACUACCACCCAUUGCCUGUUUGUGUGUGG